rnacentral:rRNA from 1 species
AUUGAACGCUGGCGGCAUGCCUUACACAUGCAAGUCGAACGGUAACAGGUUAAGCUGACGAGUGGCGAACGGGUGAGUAAUGUAUCGGAACGUGCCCAGUCGUGGGGGAUAACUACUCGAAAGGGUGGCUAAUACCGCAUGCGACCUGAGGGUGAAAGCGGGGGACCGUAAGGCCUCGCGCGAUAGGAGUGGCCGAUAUCAGAUUAGCUAGUUGGUGGGGUAAAAGCCCACAAAGGCGACGAUCUGUAGCUGGUCUGAUCGGACGACAAGCCACACUGGGACUGAGACCAGGUACGAACUCCUACGGGAGGCAGCAGUGGGAAAUUUUUGGCAAUGGGCGCAAGCCUGAUCCAGCCAUGCCGCGUGCGUGAAGAAGGCCUUCGGGUUGUAAACCGCUUUUGUCAGGGAGGAAACGAGUUUCUCUAAUACGGAGACGUAAUGACGGUACCUGAAGAAUAAGCACCGGCUAACUACGUGCCAGCCGCCGCCGUAAUAC